rnacentral:lncRNA from 1 species
GCAAGUCAUGACCACUAGGGUGUCCUUUAAAAGAGAUGCUCUUUAAAUAUUUGUUCACUGUGUAUUUAGAGUAGAGGCUGAGAAUUUCAUGAGGGAAAGAGGAAAGGGACCAUCGCUCUGGAUAGUUAGACUGAAAUGGAGCUCAGGACCUCCUCUUAGCUCAGAGUAAAUUAAGGAAUGCAUUAUAGCUGUUAAAGCAAUCUUAAGGGAAAUCCGAAGCUUCCACUGCAGCACCAUGCUUAGAAGUUCCUGUUUUCUUCAAUGUCAAAUAGCAGUGAAAAUAAAAAAUCUCCCACUUCCAGUUCUAGGAGAAUAUUAGGCUGCACAGAUCCAGAGACUAACUUCUGGAGUUCCAGGGAAGUGCUGAACCAGAUGUCCUGGUGCAUGAGGCCUGGUUUCUCUACGACAGCUCUGAAAGUUGUCCAAAAAUCUGUGUUGCCUGGCAUCUGGAGACAUUACCAAUUGUGGAUCCAAAAUUGUCAACUUGAAGAGGGCAUAAAGAGAAGCAAGUUUUUCAUGGCUGACCAGCUCAUAGAUCGAGUAGCUGCAUCCUAUGGAGUUGGAAUGAGAGAAUGUGGGAGAACUUAAAAAUGUAUGGUUUCAAUCUCCCUGUUUCCCACGGUAUUCUUAAUCAAAGUCAGAUCUGUUGUCCCAAGUUAUUUUUACCUUGGCAUGGUGAGGUAUGAUUUUAAGUGCCAGUAAUAUGAUUGUUUCCACAG